rnacentral:rRNA from 1 species
CGGAGGGUCAUUACGAAAAGGAGUAUUCGUACUCUUAAACCCUUUGUGAACCUUACCUAUCGUCAGUUGCUUCGGCGGGAGGCCCCUGGGAGGGGCCCCGGGGCCCGGGCCAGAGCCCGGGCUCCCGCCGGAGGAGCGCAAACCAAACUCUUGCUGUACCUCAGUGGAACAUCCGAGUUAAAACAAAUAAACAAGUUAAAACUUUCAACAACGGAUCUCUUGGUUCUGGCAUCGAUGAAGAACGCAGCGAAAUGCGAUAAGUAAUGUGAAUUGCAGAAUUCAGUGAAUCAUCGAAUCUUUGAACGCACAUUGCGCCCGCCAGCAUUCUGGCGGGCAUGCCUGUUCGAGCGUCAUUUCAACCACUCAGGCCCUGGUGCCUGGCGUCGGCGUAUUCUGACUAGAAACGCCUAGACACAGUGGCGGACCCGCCGCGGCUCCGAGCGCAGUAGUAAAAUAUCUCGCUUAGGGGUUCCGCGGGGGGGAUUUCCCGGCCGUAAAAACCAUCCCUCACGGGAUAACUCUCAAGGUUGACCUCGGAUCAGGUAGGAAUACCCGCUGAACUU